CCGCCUCCCCCAUCCCUCCCACUCCUCUGGGGACCCCCAUUCUCCGUGACGUUGUCCAGGACCACUUCGACCCUGUCGCCCCCAGCUCCCCCCCGCCGCACCCCAGCCCCGAGCAUGGGGACGGCGCUGGUCCAGCAUGGGGGCUGCUGUCUCCUCUGCCUGUCGCUGCUGCUGUUGGGCUGCUGGGCAGAGCUGGGCAGUGGGCUGGAGUUCCCAGGCGCUGAGGGCCAGUGGACGCGCUUCCCCAAGUGGAACGCGUGCUGCGAGAGUGAGAUGAGCUUCCAGCUGAAGACACGCAGCGCCCGCGGCCUCGUGCUCUACUUCGACGACGAGGGCUUCUGCGACUUCCUCGAGCUCAUCCUGACACGCGGCGGCCG
rnacentral:lncRNA from 1 species